CAAGAACAGAGGUGGCCUGGGGCCCAGCCACCCUGGUCUCACAGUUUUCAGAUCCCAGAAUUCAGAAGCAGUAAACCAAGUCCUCAGGUGGGGGGAGUCGGGCAGAACAUCAGGCUUCUGUGCAGAGGGUCCUGGAGGCCCCCCACCAGCCACCUGGAGGGCCCUUAUCUCUUGCCCCCCCCUGGGGGGGUGGUGCCCAGGGGAUGAGGAAGCAUCCUCCCUCCACACCCUCAGACCCUAGCCUCGGCCAUCCUCUGCCUCUGCCCUGCCCCCAGCACCAGGGUCCAGCUUUGUGGACACAAGCCCACCUCCCCACCUCUGGCCUGGAGCCCGCUCCUCCCGCCUCCCCUUCCUCACCCUGCCAGGAGCUGCUCUCGCGGGCCAGGACCUGCCGGCCGGGAGCUGAAGUCCCCUUGGCACAGUCCACACCUCCCCUCCCCUAGCAGCACCUGGUACAGGCUGGGCCUAGGAGCUGACAGAGGGUCUGGGAGAGGCCGCCCCCCACCCUCAGAGGCCCCCUGGCCUCCCGGGGCCUCCCUGCAGGAGGCAGCACACGGGGCUCAGCCCGUCCUGCUUGCUGCCAGCCACUGCCCCAGCCCACGUGUUACGGAGACGGGGCUGCUUCUGUCAUGCCCAGCGGAGCAGGGACCUGACCUCAGACGGACAGACAGACAAAGCCAUGACAGCUCCUGCAUGCUGGCCACCACCCCAGGGCCCCACCACUGAUGGGACCAUCUGCUGAGGCCCCACCAGGAGCUCUGACACUAUCCACCUGGAGACAUGGAGCUGAGGGCAGAGGGCGACGACAGGUGAGCCCUUCACAAGUGUUCUGUGGGAGCCAGCAGAGGACGGGGGCUCCCGAGGGCUCCUGCAGGAGGCCCCAUUAUGGCUUUUCAGUUAAUUCAAACAGUGACAGAAGGGGCACCGCACACAGACGGGCACGGGAGCAGCAGGCGGGGCACCUGGGCUCUGGCCUGCGGGGAGUCCCUGGUCCCUCAGCGCCCACAGGGGUGGGAUGGGGGGGGAUGAGACUCGACACAUAAAACCGAGGAGCAGCCUCCAGGUGUGUAAGGUGGGGCGGGGGCUCUCGGCACGGCCAUGCGGCUGUUUACACCAAGUCGGACAUGCAUCUGGAUUCGACAGGACACGCGUGUUUCUGGGUGACCUGCCUCUGGGUGUGAAACUGAAGCAUGGGGAGGAGCAGACAGGGAUCAGAUGGCUUCAGAAGGUUCUUGUUUUGUUGUCACUAAAAAAUAUAUUCUGUGUCGUCAAGUCACAGUGUCCCCUUCCCAAUACUGCAGCUCGGAAAAUGGGCUAAAGUCCGGAUGACCCAAUCCUGGCCUGGGGCUUGGGGCAGGGGAGGGUGGCAGGAGCGGUCACAGGGCAGGGCAGGGAUGGAGAAUUUCAGGUAAGCAACAAACCGCUUUCAGUAUGUCCCAAAGAGCGCCCAGGACAGACUCAUGCUUUAUAAUUAUUGUUUACCUGAAAUUCAAAUUUAACUUGGUGCCCUGUAUUUUUAUCUGCCAAUCUGGGGCUGAGGGACCACAACCACCACACCCAGGCCCAGGGACCCUUCCCUGUCUGCUGCCACCCAGGGCCCAGGGCAGGGAGGGAACAGGGGAGGGGAACAGCCCCCCCACUCGCUGAAGCCCUGGGCCAGCGGUUACCCCAACCUGAUCCUGCAGAAGCACGAGCUACCUGUGAUUUCCUGGGACAAGCACAGAUCAGGACUGAGGCUGUGAAACCCCUGCUCCCAUCUGCGCCCAGCACCCACUCCUCCCCAGCUGGGGCCGCCCAAGGGUGGCCCCCAGCCCUCAGCGUCUAUGGCCAAAGUCUGAAAAGCUGCGGGGAGCCCUGGCAGCGUCGGUUCCGUUCUGCAGCGACCACUCAAGGAGAAACGAGAGCUUUCCUGCCUCACCUCUAGCUCUCAGGUAGGACUGGGUUUGUUUUCAUGGUCUCAGUCCUUUGUGAACAAUGCCCUCUGCUACCCUCUGCAGUGGAUGGGGGUGAAGGCUCACGGCCCGCAGGCCUCCAGAACCCUCACGAGCCGACCCACUGUCCCAUGUGGGGCCUACAGCCCAGGAUCGCAGACCCCAGGCCCAAGCAUGAUGGGGGAGAGGAGCUCCUUGGGCCAACAGAUGCCAAGUGCCACCCAGAACCCACAUGCAGGUCCCCUGGCUCUGUACAGGUGCCAAUGCCAGUCUCUCAGCCAGACCCUCACGGUGCUGCCCACCCCCAUCCCGGGCAGGAGAGGGUGUGCUGGGCUGGGGCAGGGUGGGUGGGGGGCCGAGACAGACCCCGGGUGGUAGAAGGUGGCCAGAGGGAUGGGAGUGAGCAGGAGACUGUGGGGCACGGAGGGUGAGGAGACCCUGAGAAAGCACCGGAUCCCACAGUUGGGGACAGGAGCGUCCAGGCCAGGCCACCCCGGUCUUGAAGGCACCCUCUUGUCCUACAAGUCAGGUCCUUGGAACCAGAAUUCUCAUCAUUCAGUCAACACCCAGAGUCCAGUGAGAAAACCCCACGUCCAAGGCCGCCGCAAGAGGAACCUGUCCCCACCAGCCGUCCGAGCCCCCACCCCCACCCCGCAAUGUCCCAAAGGAGGUGCCCUCGCCCCCACUGAGAAACAGCAGAAGCACAAGCCCUGCCUGUUGCAAAGCAGACUCUGCAGCCUCUCGUGGGAGCCCCUCCCAGAUGGCCCAUCUGCCUCUGGGGUGGCCAGUGACGGGACUGGACACUUCUGCCACGGAUGCCAGGAACAGGGCUCCCAGCAUGAGGACUCUGCUGGAGAGAGGAAUGCAGGGAAGGAGGCCAGGGUGCGAGCACAGGGUGCCAGCCUCCAGCCACGAGCCCAGGCGGAAGGUCUGCAAGGAGACUCAGUGCAAACGGCUAACGUAUAUAUGGCUUUUUUAUCAACACUGGGACAGAGGUGAGCAGAAGUGACCUCGGGGCAGAACCGGCCUGAGUCCCCACCAGCCGAUCGCCCUGCCUCUGGGGGUCCACAGAGAAGCCCCUGGGGAUUGACAGGAGCCCCUCGCCAGCCUGGAAUCCCUGCCAUCUGCUCACCAGCCCUCUUACCUGGACCAGGGAACAAGGACACUUACACCUGCCUUUCAAAUUUCCCAGGCUCCGCUUUAGGCAGCGCCCGUCCGUGGAGAUCAAAUGAGAAAAGCGUAACGGGGAGCCCCACCCAGGAACCGCGCGGCUCCCGUUCUGGAAAGGCAGCCACGUCCAUCUCCCACUGGAAGGGCCACGGUCCAGCACUUCCCUGGGGCCUCUCUAGGAAGGGGUCCCCUGUCUUCACAGUUUGACACCCACUGUCAACAACGCGAGGUCUCAGGACGGACGGGCCCUCUUCGAGUCUGGCCAAUCAGUGAACAGCUGGCCGGGAUGUCCCGGGAACCACACCAGCAGGAGGCCGUGGUGACAAGGGGGGACAACUUCAGGGUCUGGUCCUAGCUCUGGACCGCCUGCCUCCCGGCCCCUCCCAGGGAGCCACGCUCCUGCACCUGACCAAGGCUCCUGGUGACCAGGCUGCUGUCCAGGCAGGUCCCCAAGGGCCUUCUGCUCCCACGAGCCCAUGGUCCAUGGCCCCUUCCAGGAGCACGGGGAGCUGCACGCACAGGACACAGGAAGUGCUGCCACCUUGUGGGUCCAGAAGACUCAAACCACGGAAAUGCCACAACUUCUGCCAAAGAGCCUCCUGGCGGGCAGGUGGAGCUGUGGAGGACGAGGGCGAUGGGCAUGCAGCAAGCACAGCUCCCGGGCGGCCACCAGAACCAGCUCCUUGCUCUCCUCCAAGGGGACCCAUCUCACAGCCAGAGGACGGUGGUCUUUAAACAGAGGGACAGAAAGAAGGACGGGGGCAGGACCACAGACGGAU
ensembl:lncRNA